CAUUAUUUCGUUAUUAUUUAUUUAUUUAUUUGUUGUUAAUAUGCAGUACAGGGAUUCGAGGGUAUAAUCUCAGAACCUCCUCUCAAUCUCAGCCCUAUUUCCUUUUUCUAUAUUGUCGUUAGCAAAUGUUAUUUUUCAAAUGCACACUAAGGAAUCUGAUGUUCAGUAGUUGUCGUUUGCUUAUGUAGUUUAUAAGUGUUACUCGUUUCCUGUUUUUAUAUAAUAGAUUGGAUCAUUGGUUUUCCCAUUUGAAUGGUUUUACACUAGUUAUUUUUGGGGACCCUUUCUAGCUUGCUGUUCGGUUUGAGCCAAGGCUCCGCGUUGAAGACUUCACUUUGAACUCUAAUAGUUUACUUCUAUAAAUUGUGUCUUGGAUGGAGAAUUGUCUCAUUGGCACAUCUUUUUAUAUCUAUUUACAUUAUUAAAUUGUUUUGUUUCUUUUUUUUCUUGUUACCUUAUAUAUUACUAAGUUAGAAAAAUA
rnacentral:lncRNA from 1 species